GGGACGUAGUAACUCCACCUCAUUUCUGAUGACUUUUUCAGGCCCUCCAUGGUCGACAGCAGCUGUUGCAUCCACAUCUGCUAUUUUACUGGUGAUCAUGAUCCUCGCUGCCUUACUUUUGAUCAGAAGAAAAAGGUCCUCACGAAGCUUUUUCCCUGGAAAGAGACCAGACAACAUCGCUGAGAUCCCACUAGUGCAGCUUUGCAGUGUGAGCUUCUCCGGAAACCAGGAGGAUCUUCUUCUCUACUCCAACAUCAGGCCAGCUCGCCCCCCCAGACACAAGGAGGAGGUGGAGGAAGUGCUGUACAACGGUCAACUUUAGGAGUUCUGGUGCUGCCAACGGAGAUGUGAAGGAGCUGUGGAUGAUUCUUCUGCUCUGUACAGCACCGUCAGCA